rnacentral:lncRNA from 10 species
GAAAGAAUUGGCAGACAAAAUACAUGCUGGUGACUCAGUGUGAGGUGUUCUCUCCUCCUUGGGGGGACGAAGCGGGAGCAGAGAACACUGAAGCCAGAGGCACUGACUUAAAAUGGAGCAUCUGAUCCUUAAAGAUCCCCUGGUAUUUGUUGUCAGAGAUGUCAGCUGGAUUUCAGUUCAGAUAAUUACAUUUUGCUUGUCUAAUGCCCCUAGCAAUUUCCAGUGGGAUCUUCAUUUCCCAUCAGAAAUUGCUCUGCAUGUGAUGCUGUGCUUCAUUAAACAACUGCCGUGUGCUAGCUCACAGGUGGUGUUUGUUUCAGUGGUCACUGAAGUAAUCUCUCCGCAGGCCCAUGCCAGCCAUACUGCCCAGACUUGAAUUCUCUCCAGAGAAGUUUCUCAUCCAAGAUCCCCAGUAAAGAAAGGACUACUGAAGGAAAAAGGAAAGAAAAUAGAGCUUCUUUCAUCUUUAUUCUGGGGUUUUCUGCAAUUUUUUUAAAGAGAAAGGUAAGCUACAUAAAAAGGAGUUUGCUUGGUGAGCAAUGGUGGAGUGAGGCUCAUGAUUUGAGUAUUUCAAGAUGUCAACUAAGGGCACCUCAACCAAAUGCACCUCAUGCCCACUGACUCAACAGGUCGAGACCUUAAGGAAAUGCGGCAUUCCAUUGCAUAAUGCUUCAAUAUGAGUUAACAAGACAAAUGAGCAGAGAAACUAUGACUCUCCAUGCUGCAGAAGGAAAAUGCUCCUAGCGAACAUCUGCUUUGGGUAAAGUAAUUUAAUUGCAAAGAUCACGGUGGUAUGUUGAGAUUUAUUUCAAGGGAAGAGCAAGGAAGCAAAAGAGGGCAGUGGGAACCCUUGACACCCUCCUUCCUUAUGGAAUUUUAUCAUCAGCGGUGAAGGGGCCAAGAAAAAUCUGUCUUCUUUGCUUUCCUUUGUAUCAAUUUCCUCUUCUGAAAUAAGGAAGUCUAAACAAAAUAGUCUGGACUUUGAAAUAUUUUAUAUAUGUAUGAAAUAUUUUAUGUAUAUCUUUUUCUGUACACACAUGUGCAAAACAUACACACACACACAUACACACACACACACACACAUAGUCUAGCCCUUGCCAUAUUUAGAUGUGUUCUCUGGACAGUAAAAUCCACCUUAGCUUAUAGAGGCUGCUAAUUUUCCUGAGAUUUCCAAGCCUAUUUAAAUCUAUACAACGAGCGAAUGUCAUUAAAUGAAUCUGUAGGCUCAGGAUAAGUGGUUCACCUAUAUACCUCCAAGACCAACAAUGAAAAGCAUUCUAACCAAGGCUUAUGUUGAGGCAAUGCUCAUUUAGGAAGUAACAUGGACUAGACUGUGAUUUAUGGAGAAAUGGUGGCAUAGAUACAUGUAGACAGAUAGGUAAGUUGAUUGACUGCAGCAGAAAUCUGCUGUUGUACAAUCUGUUCAGAUACUUGGCAUCAUUAGAACAUUUAUGGAAUAAUGUCUAUUGUGUAAGUCAUUACCAUAAUUUUUUAGAGAUAGUGGUUGAGAUAGUAAAUAUUCAGAAUUUAGGGCAUUCAUCGGAUCUACUAAGACGGACAGGCAGGGAGCACACAGUGGUGUUAUAGAUGUCAGUAGGUUCCUAGGGUGCCCAGGUUAGGUCUUCUCUUUCUCUUCAACAAUUCCAGUUGCCUUUCAGAUACAUACACGAACUAAGAACAACCCUUUCCACUUAGAGAAGUGGAAGGAAGCAAGGAGAGUCUUAUGAUACCAUUUUGAAUGAAAUAAAAAACGUGGACUCCAUGACAAGUCAAGCAGAUUCAAAACAUGCAAAUGAAUAGAUUGAAGUAGAUGCUAAGUGACAUCUCCCAAAACAUACUUCAAGGCUGACCAGUGAGUUGUGAGGCUCAUCCGUGGAGGCUCAAAAUGGAUCUUAACAUGCAAGUCCUUUCCUUCAUUCCUACAUGUGGGUGGUCUGAAUGUUCUUGGACCACUUCUAUGUUCUUGUAUCAUUGGAGGUCACUCAAUAAAACUGAAGUGCAUUGUUGAUAGUUGCUAACAUUUGGUAUGCAUAAACUAAAAUUAGCAUGAUACUUAAGUUUGCUAAAGACUUUAAUUCCAUAAUCCUAAUAGAUUUCCAGUGAUUGAACAAUAUUAUACAUCUCCUCUUGUACAGGAGCUAAUGAAUGGUAAAAGUAAAGACCAGAAGCAUUUCUCACACUAGCACAGUGCUCUUAAUAGUCCAUUCAGCUAAAUAAUAGGUUGGAUCACAAAAAAAGAGACUUUUACAUACCUUCAUAGUCCAGAAUAGGAGGUCAAAUCUAAGAAGAGGAAACUUGCAUAGGAGUAGAAAUUGUACACUUUUAGACUUCAUUUUGAAAUGCCAGAUGCAAAGUACAGGAUUAGAGAGUCUUUGCUUUAUAUAUAUUCGUGAUAAACAACAUCACAUUUCAGUAAGAACGUUGAUGAACUUGACUUUGUGCAGGGAAGGAUGAAUGGUCUGGGAAACAUACAGUUGAAAGAACUGAAUAUGGAGAAAGGAUUUAGAGUAAGUAGUUGUCAGAUGGAAAACUGAUUCAUUAUUCUGUAGGGUUCUGUGGCUUCAUUUGUGAAAAUACAGAAAAGAGAUGUGUUAGACAAUUCCAUAAAAGGGGAUGCUUUCUUCUGCAUCUCAGUUUCCUACUCUGAAAGAGGAUAAUUUUAUUAAUCCUUGGGCCAGAAACAAUGAGGGAACAUCUACUUAGCAUCUAAAAUCUUUAUAACAUGUAGGGAAUGAUGUGCUUUUCCCAGUUCCCCUGUUUGAAUGAGGGACUAGUUUUCCUAAUUACUGGAAGUGCUUGCCGACUGACAGCUCUCAGGUAUCACAAGGCUGUGGAGUGGUACAUCCAGAAUCAGACACACAUAAGGCUGGGACACACAAAUAAGCUGCAGGUAGUCCAGAUAUUAGAAACCCCCUGAUACCUAUCAUUGAUGCCCCAGUGCCUCUUUCUCCACUUAUUCCUGUUAUAAUAUCAAGGACACUCACUUUAUAGCGAAGGAAAUGAAGCAGUGGGCAGAGGUCCAUGGAAUCUAGGGCUAGUGUCCCAUAUCACAGCCCCAGAAGCUGCAGGGCUGACCAACCUAAUCAUUUAGGAUGCUGCGUACUCUCUAAAUUGAUAGCUUUAUGAUGUUGUGCCCCUAGUGGGAUAGAAUGAAUGGGCUUGAGAACCAACAUUCUUUCGUCCUCUUGGAGAAAGUUUGCUUCCCUUCCCCAAAUCUCUGGGGUUCUGUGCAUUUAAAUGUCUUGGUUCCCAAAAAGGGAGUGUUUCUAGCACGUGGCCCAGUAUGCAUCCCACUGAACCUAAAGCUACACUGCUACCUACACACUUCAGAAUCCUCAGGCCAAGGUGCCAGCAGGCAAGAUGAAGAGUUACCAUCAUGGCAGACAUAACUGACCAUGAUCAUCAGAGGGAGGCACAGGUGAUGACAUACAACAGGGGCAGGGAGGAAUGUGCUUGGCAAGCAGGUGAUCCAUUUGGGCAUCCCUUGCCCAAUUUUGAUGGCAAAUGGAUGUGUGCUGCCACCUGAGAAGAACAUGAUGACAAGAGGUUCACAUAACUCAGGGAUGAAAGUCUAGGUCAUGCCGGCCGGGCUCGGUGGCUCACGCCUGUAAUCCCAGCACUUUGGGAGGCCGAGGCGGGAGGAUCACGAGGUCAGGAGAUCAAGACCAUCCCGGCUAACACGGUGAAACCCCGUUUCUACUAAAAAUACUAAAAAUUAGCUGGGCUUGGUGGGGGGCGCCUAUAGUUCCAGCUACUCAGGAGGCUGAGGCAAGAGAAUGGCGUGAACCCGGGAGGCAGAACUUGCAGUGAGCUGAGAUCGUGCCACUGCACUCCAGCCUGGGCGACAGAGCAAGACUCCAUCUAAUAAAAAAAAAAAAAAAAAAAAAAAGUCUAGGUCAUGCCACCAGGUAAACUGCACAGAACAGCAGAAGUGAGAGUUGAGGGUGAGCAGUGUCUGGAAUGGACUGAAGAAGACAAUGAGUAUUGUUGGUGGCCUUGAGACCAGUAAUGUGGGCUAUAGUUUGUCCCAUCCUUUUCCUUUUAUCAGUUUUCCUCAGGAAAAGAGUUCCAUCAGAAUCAUGGAGGAACUGCUCUCAGAACUUCAAUCCCUCCUUAGGCUCCAAUGCCACCUGCUAUUCAAGUCACUAACAUCUUUCACCUGAAACAGUGUCUUGUCUCAUAGGCCGGCCAUUAUCCACCACAUCACAGCUAGAGGGAACUGUCAGCAACAGAAGUCAGAUCAUGUUAUUUUUCUGCUAAAAACACCCCCAAUGGUUUUCCAACGCCCUUAAAAUCAACUUGAACUUCAUGGCCCCAGGCUGCUCCACAGACCUCGUCUCCUACCGCUCUCCCUCAUGCCCACGUGGGCCAGCCAUAUUGGCUUCACUCUCAUGAGUAUGCCAAACUCCUUUCAUAUCAGGAGCUUUCUCUACCCUUCUGUGUCUGGGAUGCACUUUCUCCUGAUCUUCACACGGCUGGUGGUGUCACUUCCUUUAUGUCUCUGCCCAGAUGUCACUUCCUCAGAGGGGUCUUUCUAGACACUAUAUCUAAAAUACCCUAUGUCAUCUACAACCUAACUGAUUAGUUGGCUUUAUUUUUUUCAUUGUACACGUAACAAUUUCUAAUGAGAUUGUUAUUUUAUUAUUAAAAUGUGAUUUAGGUAUUAAAUAUUAUUUAGGUAUUACUGUGAGAAUCCCUCAUUUAGUGUAAGCUACAUGUUUAUCUUUAUAUCUCUAGCACCAAGAAUAAUGCCUGCCAUGUGCUAAUUCCUCAGUAAUUAUUUAUUGAAUUAAUGAAUGAUGCAUAUAUAAUGUUUAUUAAAGAUUAACCAAUGAGUGCCUUCAGUGAAUUUGUUGCCAUCAUUUGCAGUGGAUUUUGUUGCUUUUCCUUUUAAAGAAUAAGCCCAAACUACAGACCACUCUUAAGAAUAUUAUGAAUGAAAAAUCUGUAUAUCUAUCAUAUUUUUUAAAACUAUGGUUAUUACAUGACUAGGGUAUAUAGUAUAUUACCCUGAAAAAAAUUCCACUCUCCAGCUUACUUUGGUAAGAGUAUUUAAUUUGCCUGAGCCAGAUUUUAGUUACAAACUUCCAAAUGAGUCAUUGUUUCUUUGGGAACAUUUAUCCUACCUGUUUCCACCACUUCCUCUGGGGAGGUUAAUCUAAAUUCUGAUAAUACCAAGAAAGGCAGAACUUAAGUUUUGUUCUUAUUAUUAACAAGUUUAAAUGACUACUUUUGAACUUUUCCUUUUAUUUGAAACACAUAAUUGUGACUUUCUAAAUUGAAGUCAGCCAUUAAUAUAUAAUUCAGAGCCUACUGGAUGACUUUUCUUUGUGGAUACUGACGUCAUUGUUCUCUUUCUCAAUGGUACAAACAAAAACACUUCAGAAAGUAAACCCUUGUCUAUUGUUACAGUAAGGUGCAUAAGUAUUCAAGCCUAAUUUUUCAAGGUAACCUUUUAGGUAAUUACAGACACUGUCCUGCCAUUUUAUGGAGGGGAACUUAUUGAUUUAUAUUUUUUUAAAAAACAAAAGGAUUUGAUGAAAUGUUCAGUUAGCCAACCUGACAACUCUUUUAUUUUUGUUUUGUAAGAGUCAAGCUUGACUUCUUACAAAAUUACAAUUUAGAUGUUAAAUGACAUCUCUUAGGAACAUUCAGAAAUAGAGAUAAUUAGAAAAAUAAAUUUGGAAAUUAGCUUGCAGGGCCCUUGGUUAGGGAUCUUUGGGCAUAGUGAGCCAUCUCUUUAAAGAAAAAUGAGGUACUAUCUUUAAGAGAACUGAAGUUACCUGGACCAAAUCACAGCAUGGCUUAUCUGCUUCCUCCCUCCCUCAAAGGUAAAAUCCUCUCUGAGACACAGAAGUAUCUGGUUAAAUUUUAUCUCAAGAUAGCCUACUUGGGACAACAUGCAUUUACCUGCUGUGGUAGACAGAAUAAUGCUUCCUGGAAGAUGUCCAUGUCCUUCUUCCUAGAACCUGUGAAUAUGUUAACUUAUAUGGCAACAGGCAUUCUGCAGAUGUGAUUAACAACCUUAAGAUGGAGAAGCUAUCCUGGGUUAUCCAAGCAGGCCCAAUGUAAUCACAAGGGUCCUGGUAGGAGGUCAGAAGAGUCAGUGAUGUGACAAUAGACACAGGUCAGAGUUAUGUGGCCAUGAGCCAAGGAGUGUCGGCUGCCUCUAGAAGCUGGAAAAGGCAAGGAACAGACUCUCUCUUGAAGCUUCCAGAAGAAACUGGCUGUGCAAAUACUCCAUAGGACUCAUUUUGGCCUUCUUAUCUCCAGAGCUGGACCAAGGACAGAACCCAGAGGGCUAACAAAGAAGCACCAUGGAGUUGGUACACAGACCUCUGAGAACGGAUCCUAAAUGGCUAUCGCUGCUACCUGGCAUCUCACCAGAGAACUGGUUCUGGAAGCUCUCAAGGAAGGUUGAAGCUUUUAACUGCUACUGACCAAUACAGGAAAAACAGAAAUGUAAAGAAGUCAGCUAUCAGACUCCGGAAACCCAAACAAUUUUCUGAUGAAGGAGAGGCGUGGUAUGACAAUUGGCCCUGACCUCUGCACAAGCGAUCACCAAGAUUCACUGAUUCUGCAGCUGUAGAAUCAACUCCCAGACUAAGUUAUCUAAGAAUGAAACCUCAAAUCUUCCACACUAAAAUCACCUUUAAAAACAUAAGCUCUUUAAAAAAAAUAAUAAGAGGUAACUUUUCUAAAAUAUUUUGUAUAAAUAUUUUAUAAUUUGUGUGUGUGUAUGCACAUUUGUAGAUUUUUAAUUUGUAGGUACUCUUUAUUUGCAUUUUUUCACAAAAAAGCCUUCCUCUAAUAUUUAUAAAUAAAUAAAUAUAGUAAAGAAAAACGGUUAUCAGUAUGAACAAUAAAUACAAUUUUUAUGCAACUUAACUUUAAAGUAUCUAAUCUUUGGAAUUCUGGGUUGUAAUGUGGAGAAAUAAUGACAUCUGAUUUGCCUUCCCUGUCAUUCCAUAAAAUAUUCUUGAAACCCAAAAAAGAGAAAUAGUGACUCAACAUUAUUUUUAUUCCCUCAGUUUAAAAUUCUUCUUUAGGCUCCAUUUAAUCAGCUCUUACCACUUUCGUCUUUUAACUUUUUUCUUUCUUUCUUUUUUGAAAUAGGGUCUUGCCCUGUUUCCCAAGGUGGAGUGCAGUGGUGUGAUCACAGCUCACUAGGCUCAAACCCGUAGCCUUGAGCAAUCCCCUCAUCUCAGCCUCCUGAGUAGCUAGGACUACAGGUGUGCCCCAUCACACCUGGCUAAUUUUUAAAUUUUUUUAAUGGAGAAAUGGGAUCUCUCUAUGUUGCCCAGGCUGGUCUCAAACUCCUAGUCUCAAGCAAUCUUCCAGCCUAGGCCUCCCAAAGUACUGGGAUUACACGCAUGAGCUACCUACCAUGCCCAGCCUUCUUCUUUUCCAUUAUUUUCACAAUAUUUUGUAAGUCCAAAAAAUACAUGUGAAAUAGAUUUGAUUUACAAGGCAUAUUGACAAAACGAACCAGCACAUAUCCAAUACUCUACACUCUGUUCCUAUCCGUUUUCCCUGCCCCACCUUCUAGGUAUAGCCAUUAUUCUGAAUGUUUGACAUCGUCCCUACCAAUUUUAGUUGUAUUACAUGUGUGUACAGCCCUGAAUACCAUAUUGUGUAUUCUUCCAUUAUUUAAAAAUGUUGUUACACAGCCUUCUGGAAUUUACUUUUUCACUCAACAUCAUAUCUUUGAGAGUCAUCGUUGUUGUAUGUAACUGACUUACAAUGAUUUGUUGUAUGCAUAUACCGUAAUUUAUUUAUCCAUUCUGCUACUGGUAGAUAUUUGAGAUCACUCAGGUUUUUGAUACUUGAACUGAUUAUGUGAAUAAUCUUUUAUUUCUGAUGCACAUAUACAAAACUGUCUCUAAAGUAAGUCCCUGGAGGAAUUGUGGAGUUAUAGUUUAUCAACACUUUUUUUUUUUUUUUUUU